rnacentral:rRNA from 1 species
AUUGAACGCUGGCGGCAGGCCUAACACAUGCAAGUCGAACGAGUGGAGGACGGGUGAGUAAUGUCUGGGAAACUGCCAGAUGGAGGGGGAUAACUACUGGAAAAGGUAGCUAAUACCGCAUACCAUCGGAUGUGCCCAGAUGGGAUUAGCUCGUAGGUGGGGUAACGGCUCACCUAGGCGACGAUCCCUAGCUGGUCUGAGAGGAUGACCGGCCAUAAUGUAACUGAGACACGGUCCUGACUCCUACGGGAGGCAGCUGUGGUGAAUAUUGACCAAUGGGCGCACGCCUGAUGCAGCGAUGCCGCGUGUAUGAAGGAGGCCUUCGGGAUGUAAAGUACUUUCAGCGAGGGGGCGUUACCCGCAGAAGAAGCGCCGGCUAAGUCCGUGACAGCAGCCGCGGUAAUUC